rnacentral:rRNA from 1 species
CGGAGGGUGCAAGCGUUAUCCGGAUUCACUGGGUUUAAAGGGUGCGUAGGUGGGUUGGUAAGUCAGUGGUGAAAUCUCCGAGCUUAACUUGGAAACUGCCAUUGAUACUAUCAGUCUUGAAUAUUGUGGAGGUCAGCGGAAUAUGUCAUGUAGCGGUGAAAUGCUUAGAUAUGACAUAGAACACCAAUUGCGAAGGCAGCUGGCUACACAUAUAUUGGCACUGAGGCACGAAAGCGUGGGGAUCAAACAGGAUUAGAUACCCUGGUAGUCCACGCCCUAAACUAUGGAUACUCGACAUACGCGAUACACAGUGUGUGUCUGAGCGAAAGCAUUAAGUAUCCCACCUGGGAAGUACGAUCGCAAGAUUG